GCUUCAGUUAAGAACGUCUCCAGGGAGGUUUGCCCUCAGCUUGGAAGUCGUCUGAUUUGCAGGUUGCCGUGUUUAAAGUACUCCUGACAGUUGCAACACUGGAAGAAUUUAUGUUUUGUCACCUGACAAGGCUGUUAGCAGCAAGACCCUUCUCUGUGGGACCUGACUUGAAUAUAAGAAUAUUUUCCAGUGAGGACUGUGAACUUUGUUGAACUGAUCUGUCUCCAUUAUCUCUUGUUGAAUCCAAAACUCAGCAUAUCAUGUAUAGAGAAAGCAGCUGGCAUUUGCUGGCUGUACAUGUUGCAUUUAUCUAGAUUUGCUGUCUGCACUAUGGGCUAAAAUAUCAAGAAAUGAAUAAUAAAGAAAAAACAAAAGAUAGAAGAAAUGAUCAUUCUGAAUAAAGCAAUACUGCAUGAACUCAUAUGCUUUUAAUCCACCCACAGUCCUCUGCUAAUGCUAUAGCUAUACUCAGCUAGAACAGAGGCUGCACUUGUCCACAGACUCCCUUGUCUCAAUAUUUCGUGUUCAACUGAAAGCCUGUAGAAGUCAUCAGGAAGUCUCCCAUGGGCUUCAUUGGGAGAUAUUGUUCCUUUCCUGCUAAUUGGCAAGAAAACAAGAAGUACUAGCACAAGAUUAGAGUCUCACAAGCCAUUCAUAGCCAGGUAUGAAUCUAUCCUAAGUUCUUUUUUUUUGCUAUUACGUUUCUUUAUAUUGCUUGUUUCAUCUUUUCCUCUGCAGGAUAGCUACUAAAUGGGCACAUUUUAAGUGAGAAUCUCCCCUCUGUUCAUUUUACAAAGAAAAGGAAUAACAUUUGAAAAACUAAACAUAAUUUAUACCUAUGAAUAAGGCCAACUUUUGACCUGAUGUUGGUGAAUAUCAUUCCAUUAAAGUUAGUGAUGCUGAAUAUACUUGCUCUCAAACUGAAUUUGUCUCAUUUUGUUAUUGAGGAGUCUUUUCCUCCCUUUCCUCUCUCUUGAGUAAUUCAUAAUUUCCCCCCCUUGUACAGUUGUUUACCUAGGAGAACUGAGAGAGUACACAACAAAUACAGUCAGCAGCAAAUGUGUUCACAUUUCACUACAAAGAACAUAUGAACUCUUUGUACCUGACACUUUACACAAUAUGCUCUCUGGCUUUAAGAAAACAUUAUUUCAUGUUCUUACUCUAAUCAGCCUUGUCUGGAGCUCACAGAACAGAGAGGUUCAUUGUUAUAGGCAGCUGUCAUUUGUUCCAUCUCCUUGCUCUUUCUGACUUCAAUAUCUUUGUGGUAUUUAGUGAAAGUAAUUUUCAGUUAGAAAUCUUCUGCCCUUUCAGUAAGUGCAAGUAUAGCACUUCAUCAAUGGCCAAAGAAAUCCAAGCUAUCUGGGAUGUAUCAGGACAGUUGAUAAAAACCUCACAGAGCAACCUAUGAUAGUACAUCCCAUCAUAAAUAAAAAAAAGCAGAAAGGGCCUUUGUCAGUGUUUAUCUGUAGCGCUUUUAUUCUUUGCCCUUGAUUUCCUCUUCAGAAAAUUGAUGCACCCUUAAAUUGAAGCAGGAGGCUUGACAGGUGAUGGUUAGUGUGAUAACUGCUCAGAUUUCAUCAGCCAGUGUUUUUCUAGUGGUGCAAUUGUAGGAACUUUCAGCUAGAUUACCUGUCAUCCACUACAUCAGAUAAAAGAGGGAGAGUUGAAAGAUGCAGUUUUGCCACUGUACCUUAUAGGAAAUGAAAAGUGUGAGUGAGGUAACAGUAGCUAAAAAGAAGUACAAUUAUUUUCUAAUCAGGCUAUUCUAUCAAUAAUGUCACUGCUGAAAUUAGCAAUCAUUGGACAAAAUCCAUUGUUAAAUUUGCAUUGUUAAAUUGAUAGGGGGGAAAAAUCUGAAAAGAAAUAGUCAGUCUCACUGUAGGUAGUAGCUCAAGCACUACUUUUGACUAUCCAUUUAAUUCUUCAGUAUAUUGGAAGCAAGGUACAAUCUAUAGUUAGACACAGAAAAAUGUUGCUAUUUUGGGUAUAUUUCAAUAUUCUGAUUUCAUUCUACUUAUUCUGACUUUGUUUUUUUUAAAACUUCUGAUAGUUCAAUUACUUUGUAAAAAGUUUUACUCAUUUCUGCCAAUACCAAAUAUGAAAUAUACAUAUUUCUGCCCAUACUUCUGUACUGUGAACAAAAUGGAACUGUUUUCUGAAGAUUUUAAACCACUACAUGCGCACAUAAUAUCUGAUUACAGUUUAACUCAAUCAUGCUUUUUGAAUUUUAUAUUUUUAAGUUUCUGUAUUGACCUCAUUCUGUGCUUUAGUUAUUUCUUUCCAAAGGUAAAUAUCCUAAAUAUAGAGUAGCUUAUGUUUUGUAUUACUUAUGCUUUAAUUUAUCUUGUUUAUCCUCCCUAACCUAUUACUCUAGAUGACCGAGAUCUAUUAUGACUUUUCUUUAAAAUGAUGACGUGAGCUAACUCUGGAAAAGAAUAAAAUAAAAACAUAACCACUGGUUUGUUAAAUAACACUAUUCCCAGUGCUAUAGUUAAAAGUCUGUCAGUAAUUCUGUUAUAAAUGCUUAUUUUUCUAUGGCUUAUGCAAUUUAGACAUGAAAAUUCUCUCUAGGGUGCGACUUGGCAGAUAAAGAUUCAGCCUGUGACUGCAGCUAUUUGUUGUUAUUGUUUUACCAGAUAGUCUCAAUUUGUUAGAAGAUUUGUUGUUGAAGUUAAAAGGUAGAAAAUAAUUUUGGAAAGCACAGGAGACUAAAGCUACAGACACAUAAUAUUUUGUUUGUGCCCUUGUUAAUAAAAAUUCCAUGCCCUACAA